GAUGAACGCUGGCGGCGUGCCUAAUACAUGCAAGUCGAGCGAACGGACGAGAAGCUUGCUUUUCUGAUGUUAGCGGCGGACGGGUGAGUAACACGUGGAUAACCUACCUAUAAGACUGGGAUAACUUCGGGAAACCGGAGCUAAUACCGGAUAAUAUUUUGAACCGCAUGGUUCAAAAGUGAAAGACGGUCUUGCUGUCACUUAUAGAUGGAUCCGCGCUGCAUUAGCUAGUUGGUAAGGUAACGGCUUACCAAGGCAACGAUGCAUAGCCGACCUGAGAGGGUGAUCGGCCACACUGGAACUGAGACACGGUCCAGACUCCUACGGGAGGCAGCAGUAGGGAAGCUUCCGCAAUGGGCGAAAGCCUGACGGAGCAACGCCGCGUGAGUGAUGAAGGUCUUCGUAUCGUAAAACUCUGUUAUGAGGGAAGACCAUAUGUGUAAGUAACUGUGCACAUCUUGACGGUACCUAAUCAGAAAGCCACGGCUAACUACGUG
rnacentral:rRNA from 1 species